rnacentral:rRNA from 1 species
AACUUUCAACAAUGGAUCUCUUGGUUCCGGCAUCGAUGAAGAACGCAGCGAAAUGCGAUAAGUAAUGUGAAUUGCAGAAUUCCGUGAAUCAUCGAAUCUUUGAACGCACAUUGCGCCCCUCGGUAUUCCGGGGGGCAUGCCUGUCCGAGCGUCAUUGCAACCUUCAAGCGCGG